CCUUACGGGGGGACAGCAGGUAGGGAAUCUUCCGCAAUGGACGAAAGUCUGACGGAGCAACGCCGCGUGAGUGAUGAAGGCUUUCGGGUCGUAAAACUCUGUUGUUAGGGAAGAACAAGUACGAGAGUAACUGCUCGUACCUUGACGGUACCUAACCAGAAAGCCACGGCUAACUACGUGCCAGCAGCCGCGGUAAUACGUAGGUGGCAAGCGUUAUCCGGAAUUAUUGGGCGUAAAGCGCGCGCAGGCGGUUUCUUAAGUCUGAUGUGAAAGCCCACGGCUCAACCGUGGAGGGUCAUUGGAAACUGGGGAACUUGAGUGCAGAAGAGAAAAGCGGAAUUCCACGUGUAGCGGUGAAAUGCGUAGAGAUGUGGAGGAACACCAGUGGCGAAGGCGGCUUUUUGGUCUGUAACUGACGCUGAGGCGCGAAAGCGUGGGGAGCAAACAGGAUUAGAUACCCUGGUAGUCCACGCCGUAAACGAUGAGUGCUAAGUGUUAGAGGGUUCCGCCCUUUAGUGCUGCAGCUAACGCAUAAGCACUCCGCCUGGGAGACGUACU
rnacentral:rRNA from 2 species